rnacentral:rRNA from 1 species
UACGACUACAUAUCAGGCAUAUCAAUAAGCGGAGGAAAAGAAACUAACAUAGGAUUCCCUUCAGUAACGGCGAGUGAAGCGGGAAGGAGCUCAAAUUUGAAAUCUUCAAGGUUUUACCUUGACGAAUUGUAGUUUAAAGAAGUGUUUUCUGUUGAAGUUUUCGGUAAAAGUUCUUUGGAAUAGGACAUCAUAGAGGGUGAGAAUCCCGUCAUUUGACCGUUACUUUCCAGCUGUUGUGAUACACUUUCAAAGAGUCGGAUUGUUUGGGAAUGCAGUCCAAAAUGGGUGGUAAAUUUCAUCUAAAGCUAAAUAUUGGCGAGGAGACCGAUAGCGAACAAGUACCGUGAGGGAAAGAUGAAAGGAACUUUGAAAAGAGAGUUAAACAGUACGUGAAAUUGUCAAAAGGGAAGCGUUUGACACCAGUGUUGUUUUCUCGAAAAUCAAUUAAAAAGAGUUGGAUUUUGUAUUGUUAAGACCUUAUCAGCUUACUGUACUUUUUUCUUGCUCUUUUUAAUGCACUUUUCGUUUAACAAGUCAACAUCAAUUUCUUUUGUUGUAAAAGGGUCAUUGGAAGGUGGCUUUCACUUCGGUGAAAGUGUUUAUAGCCUUUGGCUUCUACAAUCGGAGAGAUUGAGGUCUGCAGCGUAGAUCCUUCGGGGUUAGAUACGUAGAUGCUAAGUUAUAGCUUUUUAUAGACAACUUGUUGACUAUGAUUAAUCAUGUAGCUUACUCGUUUACGCUAUUUUACCUACGCUUAGGAUGUUGAAUCUGUGCGAGACUAC